rnacentral:rRNA from 1 species
GAUGAACGCUAGCGGCAGGCUUAAUACAUGCAAGUCGAGGGGCAGCGCGGGGUAGCAAUACAAUUGUUGACGACCGGCAAACGGGUGCGGAACACGUGCACAACCUUCCUACAAGUGGGGAAUAGCUAAGAGAAAUUUGGAUUAAUACCCCGUAACAUAGCGAUGUGGCAUCACAUUGCUAUUAUAGCUUCGGCGCUUGUUGAUGGGUGUGCGGCGGAUUAGAUAGUUGGCGGGGUGACGGCCCACCAAGUCUACGAUCAGUAGCUGAUGUGAGAGCAUGAUCAGCCACACGGGCACUGAGACACGGGCCCGACUCCUACGGGAGGCAGCAGUAAGGAAUAUUGGACAAUGGACGCAAGUCUGAUCCAGCCAUGCCGCGUGAAGGAUUAAGGUCCUCUGGAUUGUAAGCUUCUUUUAUAAGGGACGAAAAAAGGUCUUUCUAGAUCGUCUGACGGUACCUUAUGAAUAAGCACUGGCUAACUCCGUGCCAGCCGCCGCUGUAACAC